rnacentral:rRNA from 1 species
GACGAAGGAUGCAAGCGUUAUCCGGAUUCAUUGGGUUUAAAGGGAGCGUAGGGGGUCUUAUAAGUCAGUGGUGAAAUCCUGUCGCUUAACGAUAGAAUUGCCAUUGAUACUGUAGGACUUGAGUACAGUUGCCGUUGGCGGAAUAUGACAUGUAGUGGUGAAAUACAUAAAUAUGUCAUAGAACACCGAUUGCGAAGGCAGCUGACGAAACUGUAACUGACACUGAGGCUCGAAAGUGUGGGGAUCAAACAGG